GUCUCGGUGGUGUAGUUGGUUAUCACUCUAGUCUCACAUACUAGAGGGUCCCCAAUUCAAACCUGGGCCUAGACA